GGGACACGUGGUAUCCUGUCUGAAUAUGGGGGGACCAUCCUCCAAGGCUAAAUACUCCUGACUGACCGAUAGUGAACCAGUACCGUGAGGGAAAGGCGAAAAGAACCCCGGCGAGGGGAGUGAAAAAGAACCUGAAACCGUGUACGUACAAGCAGUGGGAGCCUCUUAAUGGGGUGACUGCGUACCUUUUGUAUAAUGGGUCAGCGACUUAUAUUCUGUAGCAAGGUUAACCGAAUAGGGGAGCCGAAGGGAAACCGAGUCUUAACUGGGCGUUAAGUUGCAGGGUAUAGACCCGAAACCCGGUGAUCUAGCCAUGGGCAGGUUGAAGGUUGGGUAACACUAACUGGAGGACCGAACCGACUAAUGUUGAAAAAUUAGCGGAUGACUUGUGGCUGGGGGUGAAAGGCCAAUCAAACCGGGAGAUAGCUGGUUCUCCCCGAAAGCUAUUUAGGUAGCGCCUCGUGAAUUCAUCUCCGGGGGUAGAGCACUGUUUCGGCAAGGGGGUCAUCCCGACUUACCAACCCGAUGCAAACUGCGAAUACCGGAGAAUGUUAUCACGGGAGACACACGGCGGGUGCUAA
rnacentral:rRNA from 1 species